rnacentral:tRNA from 1 species
GGAGUCAUCAACCGGACCAGCGUGCCGGCUUCGCCUGCUAAGCGAUUGGUGCCGCCCUCAUCGGGCGGCAUGAGGUGCAAGUCCUCGUGGCUCCGCCA